GACGAACGCUGGCGGCGUGCUUAACACAUGCAAGUCGAACGGUGAAGCGCCUUCCUUUUUGGUGGGUGUGGAUGAUUGGCGAACGGGUGAGUAACACGUGAGUAACCUGCCCCCUUCUUCUGGAUAACCGCAUGAAAGUGUGGCUAAUACGGGAUAUUCUGGGUCUGUCGCAUGAUGGGUCUGGGAAAGAUAUUGUUUCGGUGGGGGAUGGGCUCGCGGCCUAUCAGCUUGUUGGUGGGGUGAUGGCCUACCAAGGCGGUGACGGGUAGCCGGCCUGAGAGGGUGGACGGUCACACUGGGAAUGAGACACGGCGCAGACUCCUACGGGAGGCAGCAGUGGGGAAUAUUGCACAAUGGGCGCAAGCCUGAUGCAGCGACGCCGCGUGAGGGAUGGAGGCCUUCGGGUUGUGAACCUCUUUCGCCAGUGAAGCAGGCCUGCCUCGUUUGUGGGUGGGUUGACGGUAGCUGGAUAAGAAGCGCCGGCUAACUACGUG
rnacentral:rRNA from 1 species